CAGGAAGAAUCAAAUCAUCCAAUAAAAGUCAUUCUUUCUUUUUUUUUGAGAGAAAGAUAGCAUGUUACCCGUUUCGUUUAUUUCAUUUAGAAAUAAACUUAGCUGGAAAUGUGAAUCAACUAGAAUUUGAACUUAGGUCUCGAGUACCAACCACCAAGCCUUUUUGCCACUUGCGAUAGGGACGGUCGGUACUAAAAGUUAUUCUUGAUAGUGAAAAUUAUUUCUUUUGGGCUCAACAAAUAAG
rnacentral:lncRNA from 1 species